GCUGAAAAUCUUUUAAGAACUCGUUCUUUCAGUCUAAGUUUUAAAAAGUUUGCAGCUAUUUACUUAAAUACCUUAAUUUUCACAUAAUUGUAGCUUAUCUAGAAUUCUGUUUUGACCACAGUGUGUCAGUUUCUUGUUUUUGAAAAUAUUUGCUCCAGAAAACAAUGAACUAGAAAACUCCAGGAAAGGCAAUAUUCAAAUCUUAUUUACUUUCUGCCUCAAUCUCUACCUCCUUUGCAUUUCAGAAAGCGGAAGGGGCAGGCCUAGAAGCUGAAAGAAAAGCUCGAUAAUGGGGAAACAGUGUUUUUUCCUUCAAUUAAUGAUUAAUUUCUCAGCUGGUGGGGCCAGCAGUCUCUGACCGUCACGUGACAGCUAUGCGCCCCAUGACGCCUCUCCAGGGAGGCAGAGUGGGUGGCACUGAGGUGGAGCUCACCUUCCUGAAAUUCAGCCCCCUCAGUUUGGAGGAAGGAGGUAAACUGUUUCCUGUCCAGCCAGAAGUUUGCGGAGGGCCUUCCCCAGGCCAGGCAAUGCUGCCUGCGACUCUGUCCCUGACAGCGUUGGAUGCACCGUAUCUCUUCUGAUAUUAAGUCUGGAAGUGAUUUACUAUCCGAGUCCUCCCACAGUUCGAGCCUUUUGAUGUACUUUGUGUGCAUGUGUUUCUGUCACAUACGUGCCACAGUGGAACAGAUUUUGUUUUGACACUAUUUUGGUUCAUGAUGUUAUACUUUGACUAUUUUACAAUAAUAGCCAAUGUAAACAAACAUCUUUGGGAUUCUCAAAUUAUUACUUAUGAUUCUUGGACAUUGCAGCUCUUCGAUACUGACGCAUUCCUAGCUUUUUCCAAGGACACCGUAUGUUAACAUCCGUGCCAGCCUCAUUAUCCCCACAGCCAGGCUCUGGGUUGGGCGGUAAUGAGCAUUGUGCGGUUUCACUUUACACUUUGCAAAGUUGAUUAAGGCAGUGCCUUCUCCCAUGAUCAUUUUUGUACCCUGAUGUAGUAAAAUGGCUAAAUAUGGUGAAAGUUUUCUGGUGUUUCUUUCUUUAGCUGCCAUGUCAGAGUCCAGUCUGCCUGGCUGUGUUGAAUUCGAUUCUAUUGGCACGCUACCCAGUUUUACAUUCAUUUAAAGAUCAUUUAAAGGGGAUUACGAAGCUGUAUAAGUUAAUGAUUUAAACGAGGCCUAAGUUACUAGUGUGUCUGUUUCAGCACGCCCAAUAUGAAAUCACCUUAAAAAUUGCUUUCGUGGGGGAAAAUCGUGUCGGAGCAUUUUCCAAGUGGGUUUAAAGGCAAGUCAAAAUCUGUCAAUUGGUGGCUUGGGUGGGUUUGCAUUUGAGGCCUCCAAAGUUCAAACGGCCCCAGCUAGAGGGAGGGCUAGAUCCGCGGGCGGUGGGAAGGUGUGCAGGGCUUCCGCUGGUGGGUGUUGGUGCGGUUCCCCUCGACUCCCCACCGGGACGCCCCCACCCCGUGGCAGCGACAGACCGGCCCGUAAGGUCCCCCAGCCUGGCUCCAGGACUCACUCACUCCGCCUCUAGGGCAGGCCCCGCGGCGGCUCUCGCGUCCGGGCCCCUCGCGGUAAUCAGAAGCAGCUCCGGGCCGGGAGCUCCGCGCUGGCCAGGCCGCCUUUGCCACCCCCGCGUGAUGCGCCGGGGGGCGGGAGGAGCCUGCGGGGGCGGGGGGCGCGUCUCAAGGUCCUCCCUGCACAUCUGGCGCAAUGGGGAGCGUUCGCCUUUCUUUCCCGGGUUUUGUUCUCACAGCUGUGUCCAUUCCGCCCGUGACCCCGCGAGUGAUCCCUGACAGAACGGCCCCCCUCUCCGCCCUGGGGGAGCCGGGAGGAUGUGCAGCCCCAGUCCUCCUGCUCGGCGGAGCCUCGCGCGCGCAGAGCCUAGCGCGAUUCGCGCCCUCAUUACUACUACAAAGCGCGGGCCAGACCAAUCCCCUUUCUAAUGCACCAUUUUCGACUGAGAACAUCAAGAGGCCAGAAACUUCCAAGUCAGCUUGCAGACGCAGACGCCUCCUGGGGUCCUGGCUUUAAGAACCAGAUGCCAACACUCCCGGACAGUUUAUGGCAUCCGGAUCCCUCAAGGGUGCUCAUCUGCAGUUGAGAGUGUUAGUAGCAAUUAUUUAUCUGUCCUGGAGAGGAGUUCCUGAACAUAAAUGUCCUCUGCUGGCCCUAAAGCUGGGGGCGGAGGCUGUGUGUUGUGGGGUGGGGGUUGGGGGGCCGAAUGUUCCC
rnacentral:lncRNA from 1 species